UGAAAUCGCGUGCGCGUGUGCACGGAUAUCCGCGUGCGCAGAUUAUCGGCCACUCAUCCAUCCAUCAUCAUUACUCUCUCUAUUUUCUUGUAUGCGUGUGUGUGUGUGCGUGAGUUUUGCUUUGGGCUUUUCUCUCGCUUGGGUCCUCUUUUCCUUCUCUUCCCUCCCCUCUUUUCCGUUGUCAACCUUGGCGCUGUUGGUUAGAUUUCUUUUUUUUGUGUGCGUUCUUCUUGUAUCAUCAGGUCGUUGCACCACCCCCGCCUCCUCCUCUGGGCCUCUUCCGUCGUUUACCCGCCAUCGUCACAGCAGCUGGCUGCGUACGCGUGCAGACGUCGCACAAGAAAGAGGUCGGAGGACAGACGGCAACGGAAAAAAACACACCAAAUAAGUCGGCGUCUCUUUUUUUUGCCGAAUAUUUAUUUAUAUAUAUAUAUGUAUUUUCGAAACGUUUUUCUCCUGCUGUGCUCUAGUGUACCCUUCUUGUUGCUCGCCUUUUCUUCGCAGCAUUGCAGCUGCUCUUGUGUGUUUGGGUGUGUGUGCUUGCAAGCUUGCUUUUCGACUUUCUGCCUCUCGGCGACCCUCCUGUGUUUCUUUCUUUCUGAUUCGUAUCCGUCUCUGUCUCGCUUGCCCCGUGAGCGCGGUCUGGCUUGUUCUUGGAGCAUCUGAAGAGACACAUACACGCACCGUUGAUCCAAGUAAUUUUUUUCUGGUCUGACUCCCUUCACCAUGUCUGAGGGCGAACUGCGGGUGUACUCAUGGGAGGAGAUCGCGAAGCACACGAAUGAUGACGACUGCUGGGUGGUGAUGUACGACAAAGUGCUGGAUGUGAGCAAGUGGCUGCAGGAGCACCCUGGCGGCCUCGACCCCAUCAAGGACAUGGCUGGCAUGGAUAUCACGAACAGCUUCGAGAGUAUUGGGCACUCGAGCACAGCGUUGGUCAAAAGUAAAAGCUUCAUCAUCGGCUGCGUGGACCCGGAGGAGUCGAAGAUGCGCAAGGAGGCCGCAAAGAAGGCGUCAGCCCCGGCCCCAAAGUGGUCGGAGACGAAACGCGAAGAGCUGCGGCGCUACAAGGGUGGUGAGGGUAUUAUCCCGCUGCCCGUCCUCAUCGGGGCGAUGGUAGCCAUCCUGGCUCUUCUCUUCUAUCUGUUGAAGUGACGCAGCGCCGCAUGCGCAUGUGUGUAAGUGCUUGUGUGGGCGGAGCGUUGAGGUGAGAGCGAGAGGCAUCCGCUUUCACCCCACCCACCCACGCCGCCAUCAUCCAUAACACAAAACUGAAGAAGUUGGAACCAUCAACGUUAUCAGGAGGCAGCAGAAAAUGUAAAGAAACAGGACGAAGGGACGGAGGGGGGGGAGGCUGUCAUUCCUUAUUCACCGGAACGCGGUGGACUUCUCUUCGCUUCACGCACUUCGCUGUAUAUCUGCCUUCUGCCUUUGGGUUUGUUUUCCCUAUCUCGGGCAGGGAUGAAGCGGCAACGGUCUAGAGCGAAUGCCGCGCGCUGGAUGGACGGCCGAAGUGCAACACACCCAAACGUAUUGAAGGGCGCACGUGCAACAGAUAUGGCCGUUGAUGAGUGUGGACAGCGGGAGCGUCAAGAACAACAAAAAAAGGAAUCUCAGAGAAGGAAGCGGAAGCGAGGAGCAUGCGUGUGUGGUCUUUGAGUAGGAGUGGUCUUAGAGGUUCUUUCGUUUUAGUGUGUGUGUGUGCGUACCUCUGGAGCUGAACCCUGCACUGGCAACUCUGGUGAAAAGCACAACAACAAAACGAGUGAACGCGAAGGUACCGCUUCACAGAGGGAGCCAUGGAGUUGAGCAGCUGCCAAUACUCGCAAAGUAGUUCAUCACGGUGCGCUGCUGACUCAUAGAAUGUGGGGAAGGCUGCGGGAGAGAGGCAGAGAUCCAUGUAUGAGCGCCAGCUAUGCGCUGCAGGCUCACUCGCCGGAUACGCAUCGCCAUCUCGAUCCCUCUUUUACUUACUUGGCGGUGGAAGCACACGUUCAAAUGUUUUGCUCGGCUUUAAUGCUGAUGAGUGAUUGCAGAGGACGCACAGGAUCGCGACCCUCUUCCGUGGCUCCUCCCAUGGCUCCUGUUUCGCUUUCUUCUGGACUCCAGGCAUCCAACAUUUUGCGCAGACUCGCACGCAUUGGGACGAGUCGAGUUGCCCAGCUGGCGGGACACUCCGCAUUGUUUUCUUCUCUGAUCGCCUAUUUGCGGUGUUCUCCAUCUAUCAUGUGACUGUUUCCAUCGUGACAUGGAAGGGGGAGAAGGGGGCGGGCUCGAGCUUCCGGGGAGGGAGGGGGGGGAGAGGAGUUGAAUAAGACGGAGCGUUCGCAGAAGCAUUCGGAUGCACGCACGCAACCCACACGCUCUACGAGCAUCGUAGAGGGCUGAGCGAAAGGGAAUAACACGCAGCCGCUCGGGAGGUGGUGCGUGUAUGUGUAUAGACGGCAUGUGCAGUGGGUAGAGAGCACCGGCGAGACCGGGCCCACGCCUCCGCGCUGCCCCACUACUUAAUGCCUGAGGAACAUUAAGCUGUUAUGUCGACGCUUUAUUUCUUCCGUUCUUUUCGCACUCCUGACGUUGGACGUACAGGGGGUGAUGGCGCGCGUAUCGCAAGAGGGAAGGGGUGGGGAGGGGAGUGCCGCAGCGAAAAAGAAAAAGCGGACAACGCGGUUAGAGCGAGCGAGCCGGACGCGGCUGCGUGGUUGUCGCUGGGCACGCACACGUAGGCGUCUCUCCGUCCGUGUCCCAAAGGCAGCUUCUCCGCUGUAGAUACUUCUUUCCGUCUCUCUUGUUUGCCUCCUUUCGCCUUGUAGACGCCAUCAUUCUCUCUCCCGGCUCCUGAUGCUUUUCAAAAUGCUCUGCGCCUCUCGCCCUGUCCCUCGACGCCAUGGCGCCGCUGCGCCGCCCACGCCUGCACCCCCCCCCCCCCCCCGCAGCCACGCCGGGAAAAUACCCUGUGCGCGUUUCGGGCGGGAGGUGCACACGCCGGAUGGAGGUGUCGCCACAACACUUCGGCAGCUCUCAUGCGGGCAUCGACUCUCGCGUUUUGCGAAGUUCUCGCUCUUGACAGGCGGCGCGGUGCAGACAGGCAUCAGGCGAGGAGCGGCGGCGAUGCUCUACAACAAUACUGCGCUGACACGUGCUGCGAAAACACACCGCGAGCCCUUGCGUGCAGUUGCCGCGCUGAGUGUAAAGCGAUGGAGCCGGGGCUCGGGCAACCGCGAAGAGAGCUGGAGCAGCGAAGGCGCGGGCGGUGAGGCGCGGCUGUUGCACACCGCCUCCCCCGCCCAUGGCACCCGACACCGGCCCCCGCAAGAGUAAAGGGUGCGCUUGUGUGUGGCAUACUGCGGCGUGCGGGCGGGGGCAUAAGCGCUGUCGCGACUGGCCUGUCGCGUGCGCCUCCGAUUUCAGCCUGCCUUUUCGCACCACGAAUGGGAACACAAGGACAGAGUGCACAGGCUUUCGAAAUAGGCAGCGCCGGAGGCGCCAUCACCAACUGCAUGGAUCACGGACCCGGCCACCGGCCCCAGACGCCGAGCCGACAUCCCCCGAAACCGCGCCGCCCGACGCAACACGCGACGACAAGGGCUGCUUGGCGGCGAGAGACCACCUCUGCUCGGCUGUGCACGAACACCUUUGCGCACCUUGGGCUCCCACAGCGACGGGCGACAGGCAGUGGCAACAUGGAGUGCAGACGGUGUGCUGCGCACGACUCCGCCAGCGUUGCGGCACCCCCAUCCCCGGCUGUGCUUGUUACGAGGGCUUCCGACCCAUCGUUGCGCCCCGGAAUGCCACGUGAGCCUCCCCGAUUCCUUGAAGCUCGAAGCGCGCCGAGUUUGAAGCCCCGGGCUUGCACGCAAUGACUUGGCCACGCACACCCCACCCGCGCUGCAUGAGCGUCCCCUCUCGGGUGUCCACGGAUGCUGCCCACUGUCUCCCCCAGAACGGCAGACUACGAGCCCUUGCGCUCAGGAACCUGCUCAUUCACGGGCCUCCUCCGCCUGAAACACCCGCACCUGGCCAAGGCAUGCGGGCUCAGAAGUGGGGGGGGUCGAUGCCCCCAUGCAGCCAUAGACCCACGGCGCCGCCUCACCUGUCGUGGCGCAUGCGGGCAGGUCAUCCCAGCGCGCCCCCGUGGCACGGACGGAAACGGAAGAUGCAGGCAGCGAGCCCCCCACCCCAGACAACAACGCCGUUCUGAAGCAAGCCCCCCCCCCCCCUCCACCACCACACGCGCGAAGAUGCGGGCGCUGUGCGCAGACACUCUCGGGCACAACGCGCCUGGCGCAUCGCAUCCGAGCAAGGCAUGCAGCGGCCACAAGGGCACGGGUGAUGAACGUAGAUGGCGCGCAGAGACCCACACGGAUCAUCCCCAGGGCGCAUGUGAGCGAAACAUGCGGCGCCUCCAACACCCGACCCUGUGGACAAACGAGGCGCCAAUGCCGGAAGCAUGGCGAGAGCGCCGUGAAUAGCACCGUCGAAUUCUGCAGACCCGAAUGCCACGAUCCCCCAGGCCAUACUAUGGGAUACUGCGGCGUGAUGCGACUGUGGGGGAUGGGGCGGGCGAGGCAUGGCGCACAGGCGGGGCGCAGGGGCUCGGGGGGCCCUGGCCUGCGGCUGCCCGACUUUCUUCCUGAGCUCACCCGACAUGCGCCUGGACCCCGCCCCCUGCUGCCCUGCACGGAAGGCGCCACCUCUUGCUUCCCUCCGGCGGUGGACCCUGGGCGCGGCCCGCGUGGGUCAAGCCGUGCGGUGCCCCCGGGGCCGCCUGGCGCAGAUGAUGCGGAGUGUCCCGGAGGAAGGGGGCGAGAAGAGCCCAUUAGGCGCAUGGGCGGGCUCGGCGGCAGGACGGUUCGCCCUAGACGGCCGGGAUGGAGCCGUGACGCGGCAGCGGCGGAUGCGCGGCGGCUGUGUGUGCGUGCACUCGCUGGCUUGCUCGUUGCGGAAGCAGCGCGUGAUGGAACGCCGUGUCUCGUGCGGUCCCUACGAGCAGCACCAAAUUGACGUGUAGUCGCUGUGCCCUUUUCUUUGCAGCCUUGUCGUGCCUGUCACCUUUGGCUCGUCCCUCUGCCUGGUACUCCCCCGCUUGGCAACUGCCUUCCCUGUGCCCCGCAGGCACCCCAUACCCAGCGAUCGUCGCCGUUGGAGAACGAAAAAGGCCGAAGACGAGACCCUCCACCGGAGGGAAAGGGGGCCCCCCGCGCAGCCACGCUAAGAGAAACGGAAAGUGCGCGGGCGCGGCAUGAAGCUCAGCGUCACAUCCGAGGAGAGAAAGCCAGCGCAAGCCGAAAAAGGGCACCGAAAAGAUGCGGAAGAGGUGCGAAGUGCAUUGUCACAAGGCGUAAACGACGUUCCUACGACUGGCCUGUACGUGCUCGAGCCGUGGGAGGGUGCUCCCUGUUCGUUGUCUGUUUUACCAGUCCCCCUCUCCCGUCCCUUUAGCGUUGCAGUGAAGGAGGGAGGGACUACACGGUAUGUUGUGGACGGCACUCACCCAAUCACCAC
rnacentral:misc_RNA from 1 species